AACGAACGCUGGCGGCAUGCCUAACACAUGCAAGUCGAACGAGACCUUCGGGCCUAGUGGCGCACGGGUGCGUAACGCGGGGGAACCUGCCCUUAGGUUCGGAAUAACUCCCCGAAAGGGGUGCUAAUACCGGAUAAUGUCUUCGGACCAAAGAUUUAUCGCCUUUGGAUGGGCCCGCGUUGGAUUAGCUGGUUGGUAGGGUAAAAGCCUACCAAGGCGACGAUCCAUAGCUGGUCUGAGAGGAUGAUCAGCCACACUGGGACUGAGACACGGCCCAGACUCCUACGGGAGGCAGCAGUGGGGAAUAUUGGACAAUGGGCGAAAGCCUGAUCCAGCAAUGCCGCGUGAGUGAUGAAGGCCGUAGGGUUGUAAAGCUCUUUUACCCGGGAUGAUAAUGACAGUACCGGGAGAAUAAGCUCCGGCUAACUCCGUG
rnacentral:rRNA from 1 species